GCAUAUCAAUAAGCGGAGGAAAAGAAACUAACAAGGAUUCCCCUAGUAACGGCGAGUGAAGCGGGAAGAGCUCAAAUUUGAAAGCUGGUACCUUUGGUGCCCGCGUUGUAAUCUCGAGACGCGUUUUCCGCGCGGCGCUAUGGACAAGUUCCUUGGAACAGGACAUCGUAGAGGGUGAAAAUCCCGUACUUGCCAUGGAUGCACCGUGCUUUGUGAUACGUGCUCAAAGAGUCGAGUUGUUUGGGAUUGCAGCUCAAAAUGGGUGGUAGACUCCAUCUAAAGCUAAAUAUCGGGGAAAGACCGAUAGCGAACAAGUACCGUGAGGGAAAGAUGAAAAGCACUUUGGAAAGAGAGUUAAAAGUACGUGAAAUUGUCGAAAGGGAAGCGCUUGAAGUCAGCCAUGCCGCUCAGGACUCAGCCUGGCUUUUGCUUGGUGUACUUCCUGGGUAGCAAGUCAGCAUUGGUUUGGACCGUCGGAGAAGCAUGGCAGGAAUGUGACGCCCUCGGGCGUGUUAUAGCCUGCCAUUGGAUACGCCGGUCUAGACCAAGGAACGCAGUGCGCCUUACGGCGGGUCU
rnacentral:rRNA from 1 species